rnacentral:lncRNA from 1 species
CGGGGAUCGAACUCAAAACUUCUAAGACUUUAAAAAAUGAUUGAAAUUUUCAUUAAAUUUUAGUACCUAAGAAUUGGAGAAUUUUGUUUUUUCCCCAGUGUUUGGAGAGUGUACCUUUCAUUCUCUGAGCCCCAGUGUUCUUUUCUUGGUACCGGGGAUCAAACUCAGAACCUUGCACUUGCAAGGCAGGUGCGCCAUCACUGAGCUAAAUCCCUGGCUUUAAACCAUUUUUGAAGGAUAAAAUAUGAAUUAUGGAUCAUACAAGGAAGAGAGAGAAGGCUAGAGAACAGUUACAAAAGAAACAUAAAGAAACGACAUCACUUCACAGAAGAGGACAUUAAGAAACCUUGAACCACCUCCGCAUCACCUGGUCGUUUUGUAAGAUUACAUCUCUCACAGCAGAAAUGACAAAAUCAAUGAGAGUAUAU